UUAUGAAAAAUGUACCCCAAAAUGCGUUGCCUUUUAAGAAGGACAGACGCGGGUCGGAAGCUCCAAAAUUUGCACUAAGUUCAGCUCCGCCGGGAAAAUGACAGAGACCACACAAUGCUGUCAGGAAAAACAAACUGAUCCCUUUAUUGCAGAAUGCAAAACUACAGCUGUAGGGUCCCUGCCUCUGGAAAGAAGGAAGGAACCCCGGGAAAUGGUGGGCAAUCCUUCGAGAUGGGCGCAGGAGUGGAGCGAUUUCCUGACGAUUUCCAUGAGGUAAUUUUGGCAGGUGUUUUCCUUGAGGCCGCGGAAAGAUGGACUAUGGCAUGUUUAAUUUGAAUAAAGUUGUCAAGCUAA